AGACGCUCCCCUGUUUCUCCCCCUUUCUCUCCCUCCCUUCACUAAACCCUUUUCUUCCCCAAAAAUAAUUUCCAAAAAAAAAGGAAAAUUCCCUAAAAAUUCUCUGCAAAUAUGAAGAUGAUGAUGGAGGAGGAGAGAGAAAUUGAGUCGGUGAAGAAGGAAGUUGCUGCCAUGAACGGAAAGAAGAAGGAGGAGUUUGAGGAAGUUCUAGAGGAGGAAGUUGACGGCGAGGAAGAAGACGGUGACGACACUGAAGAUGACGACGAUGAUGAUGAUGAAGGUGGUGAUGACGAUGAGGAUGAUGAUGACGACGCUGAUGAGAAUGCAGUGCCGGAAGGCCUACCGUCUUCUGAUGGUCCCGCUGUAACGUCAGUUGAUGAUGAGGAUGAUGACGCUGACGAUGAUGACGACGAAGACGACGAUGAUGAUGACGACGACGACGAUGACGGCGACGAUGAGGAGCCUGAUACCGGGUAUCUUGUCCGCCCUGUUGCUCCUGCUGAAGAUGAGGUGGAUGCCUCUGAUUUUGAGCCUGAAGAGAAUGGCGAUGAUGAAGAUACUGAUGAAGAUGAUGAUGACGACGAUGAUGAUGACGAUGAUGGUGGGAAAGCCGAGGCCCCUUCAAAGCGGAAAAGAGCAGGUGAUGAUGAUGAUGAUUCUGGAGAUGACGAUGGAGAUGAUGAUGAUGAUGAAAGACCAUCCAAGCGGUAGGGGUGGGGUUUGGCCUCUGUUAUACUCUGGAAGAAUGCCGAUGGAGGCUUGACCCAUCGGCAUACGAUCCGCGUAAAAGUGUUGCAAAAGUGAUCCUCUCAUAAUGUUUUGGGCGAAAGUUAAUUCCGGGCCUCCUGGUUGGUGGACUGGCUGAGUUUGCUAACAAUGUGACUUUCAAGCAUUUUGCAGUUGAUGGGGCUCGACCAUGUGACUUGCAAAAGUGAUCCACCAACAUAUCUUGUUUUUAUGAUAAAAGUGAUGGUCCAUUGGAGAAUGAGCCAACUGAGUGCUAAUGGGCCCUGGAGGCGCACGCUCGUAAUCCUUCCACUGACAAGAGCGGGAGAAAUUUUUCGUUGCUCUAUGAAACCAGCCUCACGCGGUCUCCUUCACUCUAAGGCCCAUGAAGAUCAGGCCUUCGCCCAACCCACAUGGACCAACUCUCAACUUGGAGAGGGCUAGCUUGCAUGUUGCCAACCACAGGCCGGACCCAUAGAGCUGAAAUCUUGUUCCAUCACCUUAAUGCUCCCACUUGGGUCACAAGCUCACGUUACUAAGCUCAGCAUUUUUGAUGCAAACUAGGAAGUAAAUUUAAAGAUAAAACAGUUUACAAGAUUAUUUAGGGAGGUCUAUCCUCCAAAAUUAAAUUCCUUAUGAACAACACACCUGUUACUCCGUAUAAUUUUAGUCAGUCUAUCAAGUACUCCGCACUAGGGAGUAGAGAGUACAUGUCAAAUUGGACGUAGUAAUGUAGUAUACUUAUUUUGGGAGUUAUUUUCAGAAAUUCAGUCAAAUUGCAUAAUUA